rnacentral:lncRNA from 1 species
CCUAGCUUAAAAAUCAGCACUUCUUUUCUCUUUACUGAGCUCAUCGACAAACAAUACAACGAAUUCUUUCAGCUUAAGAAUUCCAACCAGAAGCUUAAUGUCCUUGUUUAACCCUUCUUCAAAUCUUUUACAAAUAACAGUCUUGGUCGGAAUACAUGCACAGGCAUAUUUACUCAGUUUGACAAAUUUUUGUUCGUACUCUGAUAAAGAAAUACGACCCUAUUUAAGCUCGAGAAAUUCACAUUUAUGAUCUAG